CUUAAACAAUGUCUACACUGUAUUUCUGAUCAAUUUGAUGUUAUUUUAAUGGACAAAAUGUUUUUCCUUUUCUUUCAAAAACAAGGACAUUUCUAAGUGUCCCCAAACUGUUGAACAGUAGUGUAACUAAACCAAAAUGGAACAUGCAGAAAAUACAUUUCUGAAGCAACAAAAUGAUACCUUGUUCACCCCCCCUCAAUAACCCAUAACGAAAAAGCCAAAACUGGUUUAGACAUUAAUUUAUUCAAAAUAAAAAACAGAAAUAACACAAUUACAUUAAGUAUUCAGACCCUUUUCUCAGUACUUUAUUGAAGCACCUUUGGCAGUGAUUACAGCCUCGAGUCUUCUUGGGUAUGACGCUACAAGCUUGGCACAUCUGUAUUUGGGGAGUUUCUCCCAUUCUUCGCUGCAGGUCCUUUCAAGCUCUGUCAGGUUGGAUGGGGAGUGUCGCUGCACAGCUAUUUUCAGGUCUCUCCAGAGAUGUUAGAUCGGAUUCAAGUCCGGGCUCUGACUGGGCCACUCAAGGACAUUCAGAGACUUGUCCGAAGGCCACUCCUGUGUUGUCUUGGUUGUGUGCUUAGGGUCGUUGUCCUGUUGGAAGGUGAACCUUCACCCCAGUCUGCGGUUCUGAGCGCUCUGGAACAGCUAGUACAGCCCCUAGUACCUUAGGUAGUACAGUAUAGCCUCAGCUAGUCCAGCCCCUAGUCCAGCAGGUAGUACAGUAUAGCCUCAGCUAGUCCAGCAGGUAGUACAGUAUAGCCUCAGCUAGUCCAGCUCCUAGUCCAGCAGGUAGUACAGUAUAGCCUCAGCUAGUCCAGCAGGUAGUACAGUAUAGCCUCAGCUAGUCCAGCUCCUAGUCCAGCAGGUAGUCCAGUAUAGCCUCAGCUAGUCCAGCUCCUAGUCCAGCAGGUAGUACAGUAUAGCCUCAGCUAGUCCAGCAGGUAGUACUGUAUAGCCUCAGCUAGUCAGCCCCUAGUCCAGUAUAGCCUCAGCUAGUCAGCCCCUAGUCCAGCAGGUAGUUGGUUUUGAGAGAGAGCCUUGACAGAAUGAUAACCACGCCACAGAACUGUAUACAUUUAUCAAUGAUACAUGUUCCAACUCGGGUCCCUUGACACAGAGGCAAGUACGCUAACCCCAAGAUAGACAACUCUAGAGCUUCUCCCUAACCCUUAACCCUAACCGCUUAACCCUAACCCCAAGAUAGACAACUCUAGAGCUUCUCCCUAACCCUUAACCCUAACCCCAAGAUAGACAACUCUAGAGCUAACCCUAAACCUUAACCCUAACCCCAAGAUAGACAACUCUAGAGCUUCUCCCUAACCCUAACCCUUAACCCUAACCCUUAACCCUAACCCCAAGAUAGACAACUCUAGAGCUACUCCCUAACCCUUAACCCCUAACCCCUAACCCUUAACCCUAACCCCAAGAUAGACAACUCUAGAGCUAACCCUAACCCUUAACCCUAACCCCUAACCCUAACCCCUAACCCCAAGAUAGACAACUCUAGAGCUAACCCUAACCCUUAACCCCCCUAACCCCUAACCCUAACCCCUAACCCCAAGAUAGACAACUCUAGAGCUUCUGAAAGGUUGUUCUAGUGUGGAUAUGAAUGGAGGCUAUGGUCAUAACAGAGAACAGAAAAACAUGGAUGUCUGAGAGUAGUUGUUCUGCUGGUCAGGGAAGGCAAUAGAUUGUAUAGUUAUCUUCUGAUCAGGGUAAAAUCACUACCCCACAACAAUACAAUCUACUACCUCACAACGCCUCAGCAGAUAGACAAUGACUUCAUAAUGUUGACGAUGUACCUUGAUGAUUUCUUCCUGUUCGUUCUCAAAACACCACAGCAAAUACGAUCAGAAUAGAAUCUUUUACAAUGACCAUAAGAGGAGAUUGACUGUAGUAUCCUUGGUGAUUGACACAUUGAGAAAGACAGUAGGUUGUACAGUUAUCUCCCAGUGUGGGUGUGACCCUAAAACUAUCCAACCUACUACCUCAUCCCACUGAGCUGAGGAACCUGGAGAGGAACCUGGAGAGGAACCUGGAGAGGAACCUGGAGAGGAACCUGGUCUGAUCCACCUCACAGCAUCUGUUGAGAGAGAGACUGGAUAGUAAUACUGCCACUUUUAGGAUCAAUUCCAUCAUAUCAAACAAACAAAAAAUUUUUUUU
rnacentral:lncRNA from 1 species